CCUACGGGGGGCAGCAGUGAGGAAUAUUGGUCAAUGGACGAGAGUCUGAACCAGCCAAGUAGCGUGAAGGAUGACUGCCCUAUGGGUUGUAAACUUCUUUUAUAUGGGAAUAAAAUGUUCCACGUGUGGGAUUUUGUAUGUACCAUAUGAAUAAGGAUCGGCUAACUCCGUGCCAGCAGCCGCGGUAAUACGGAGGAUCCGAGCGUUAUCCGGAUUUAUUGGGUUUAAAGGGAGCGUAGGUGGAUUGUUAAGUCAGUUGUGAAAGUUUGCGGCUCAACCGUAAAAUUGCAGUUGAAACUGGCAGUCUUGAGUACAGUAGAGGUGGGCGGAAUUCGUGGUGUAGCGGUGAAAUGCUUAGAUAUCACGAAGAACUCCGAUUGCGAAGGCAGUUCACUGGACUGCAACUGACACUGAGGCUCGAAAGUGUGGGUAUCAAACAGUAUUAGAUACCCCUGUAGUC
rnacentral:rRNA from 1 species